UGACCUCAAAUCAGGUAGGGACACCCGCUGAACUUAAGCAUAUCAAUAAGCGGAGGA
rnacentral:rRNA from 3 species